GGCCGCGUGGCCUAAUGGCAUGGCGUCAGAUUUCGGUUCAUCGUUCAAAUAAAAAAGGACGACGACUUAUUCUCUGAAGAUUGUCGGUUCGAAUCCGGCCGUGGUCG
rnacentral:tRNA from 1 species